rnacentral:rRNA from 1 species
UGGGGAAUAUUGCACAAUGGGCGCAAGCCUGAUGCAGCCAUGCCGCGUGUGUGAAGAAGGCCUUCGGGUUGUAAAGCACUUUCAGCGAGGAGGAAGGUGGUGAACUUAAUACGUUCAUCAAUUGACGUUACUCGCAGAAGAAGCACCGGCUAACUCCGUGCCAGCAGCCGCGGUAAUACGGAGGGUGCAAGCGUUAAUCGGAAUUACUGGGCGUAAAGCGCACGCAGGCGGUUUGUUAAGUCAGAUGUGAAAUCCCCGGGCUCAACCUGGGAACUGCAUUUGAAACUGGCAAGCUAGAGUCUCGUAGAGGGGGGUAGAAUUCCAGGUGUAGCGGUGAAAUGCGUAGAGAUCUGGAGGAAUACCGGUGGCGAAGGCGGCCCCCUGGACGAAGACUGACGCUCAGGUGCGAAAGGCGUGGGGGAGCAAACAGGAUUAGAUACCCUGGUAGUCCACGCUGUAAACGAUGUCGAUUUUGGAGGUUGUG